ACUGAUGUGGCAGAACAGUGCCUCGAACUUAAGCCUCGAAUACGAGAGACCUCUCUCCCUCAGUA
rnacentral:tRNA from 1 species